rnacentral:rRNA from 1 species
AUGGCCGUGAGGAUCUCACCUGAGAAGGAGUUGCUGGACAGGUCCAGGACUUGCAGAUUAGAAUGUUGGGAUAACUCGGGUGGAACAACACCACUGAAAUUGUUGGAUGGGAGGCUCAGAACUGUUAGAAGGGGAACACUUGUUCCAACCCAAGAGGGGAUAUCACCGAAGAACUUGUUGUUCCCAAGAUCUAGGAUGACGAGAUCUCUGCAGGUUUCAAUUACGGAUGGAAAAACUCCCAAGAAAGUUAUUGUUAGCAAGACGAAGCGACUGGAGUUUAAGACCCAAGCUUGUUGGUAUGGGAAGUUCACCUGA